rnacentral:rRNA from 1 species
UAGCCGGACUGAGAGGUUGAACGGCCACAUUGGGACUGAGACACGGCCCAGACUCCUACGGGAGGCAGCAGUGGGGGAUAUUGCACAAUGGGGGAAACCCUGAUGCAGCGAUGCCGCGUGGAGGAAGAAGGUUUUCGGAUUGUAAACUCCUGUCGUAAGGGAAGAGAAAGGACUGUACCUUACAAGAAAGCUCCGGCUAACUACGUGCCAGCAGCCGCGGUAAAACGUAGGUCACAAGCGUUGUCCGGAAUUACUGGGUGUAAAGGGAGCGCAGGCGGGAAGACAAGUUGGAAGUGAAAUCCAUGGGCUCAACCCAUGAACUGCUUUCAAAACUGUUUUUCUUGAGUAGUGCAGAGGUAGGCGGAAUUCCCGGUGUAGCGGUGGAAUGCGUAGAUAUCGGGAGGAACACCAGUGGCGAAGGCGGCCUACUGGGCACCAACUGACGCUGAGGCUCGAAAGUGUGGGUAGCAAACAGGAUUAGAUACCCUGGUAGUCCACACUGUAAACGAUGAUUACUAGGUGUUGGAGGAUUGACCCCUUCAGUGCCGCAGUUAACACAAUAAGUAAUCCACCUGGGGAGUACGACCGCAAGGUUGAAACUCAAAGGAAUUGACGGGGGCCCGCACAAGCAGUGGAGUAUGUGGUUUAAUUCGACGCAACGCGAAGAACCUUACCAAGUCUUGACAUCCUGCGACGCACAUAGAAAUAUGUGUUUCCUUCGGGACGCAGAGACAGGUGGUGCAUGGUUGUCGUCAGCUCGUGUCGUGAGAUGUUGGGUUAAGUCCCGCAACGAGCGCAACCCUUAUGGUCAGUUACUACGCAAGAGGACUCUGGCCAGACUGCCGUUGACAAAACGGAGGAAGGUGGGGAUGACGUCAAAUCAUCAUGCCCUUUAUGACUUGGGCUACACACGUACUACAAUGGCGUUAAACAAAGAGAAGCAAGACCGCGAGGUGGAGCAAAACUCAGAAACAACGUCCCAGUUCGGACUGCAGGCUGCAACUCGCCUGCACGAAGUCGGAAUUGCUAGUAAUCGCAGAUCAGCAUGCUGCGGUGAAUACGUUCCCGGGCCUUGUACACACCGCCCGUCACACCAUGAGAGCCGGGGGGACCCGAAGUCGGUAGUCUAACCGCAAGGAGGACGCCGCCGAAGGUAAAACUGGUGAUUGGGGUGAAAUCGUAACAAGGUAGCCGUAGGAGUACCUGCGGCUG